rnacentral:rRNA from 1 species
CCCUUUGGAAAGGAAUAGCCUCGGGAAACUGGGAGUAAUGCCUUAUAAGAUACGUUUGUCGCAUGGCAUUUGUAUUAAACGCUCCGGCGCCAUAGGAUGGACCCGCGUCCCAUUAGCUAGUUGGUGAGAUAACAGCUCACCAAGGCCACGAUGGGUAACCGGUCUGAGAGGGCGAACGGUCACACUAGAACUGAGACACGGUCCAGACUCCUACGGGAGGCAGCAGUGGGGGAUAUUGCGCAAUGGGGGCAACCCUGACGCAGCAAUACCGCGUGAGUGAAGAAGGUUUUCGGAUCGUAAAGCUCUGUUAUUGGGGAAGAAAAAAAGACGGUACCCAAGAAGAAAGUUCCGGCUAACUACGUGCCAGCAGCCGCGGUAAUACGUAGGGAACAAGCGUUGUCCGGAUUUACUGGGCGUAAAGGGCACGCAGGCGGUUUUUUAAGUCAGAUGUGAAAGGCCACAGCUCAACUGUGGACAUGUAUUUGAAACUGAAAGACUUGAGUAUUGGAGAGGCUAGUGGAAUUCCUAGUGUAGCGGUGAAAUGCGUAGAUAUUAGGAGGAACACCGGUGGCGAAGGCGGCUUGCUGGACAAAUACUGA